rnacentral:lncRNA from 12 species
AUUCGUUGCUAUGGAAAUUAAAAGUAAACAAGUAACAUCUAGGAGGAGAAACCAUUGUUCAGUGCUGGGGAGUUGGGGGAGGGCAGAUUGAGGCUAACCCUGAAGUUACAAGUGUUGACUCCUACUUGGGAAGAGGACUUGAUAUUUCCAACAAUGUUUGUGCUUUCUGGGGAGAGAAGACAAUACUCUGGUCCCUGAGGCAAAAGGUGAAUCCUCUGAAUCAGAAUACUUCUCCUGCUAUUCCUCCUUGAGUCAUCUGUCUUCUGCAGAAAUCUUAAAGAAGCAAAAGGAUACUCCACAGCCUGGUGAGAGUACCUCACAGGAAGAACACAGUGCCGUUGUCUCAAGUGACCUCCCCUGUGCCUCUGACAAUAAGAAUACGGGUAAGUCGAGAUGUCUGAACUGGAGGUGGGUAGUGGCAAAGGGAGAUGUAAGCAUGGCUGAGGGUCCAGCUGAGCAUUUCUAUUUACA